rnacentral:rRNA from 1 species
AUUGAACGCUGGCGGCAUGCCUUACACAUGCAAGUCGAACGGUAACGGGCCUUCGGGUGCCGACGAGUGGCGAACGGGUGAGUAAUGCAUCGGAACGUACCUUUCAGUGGGGGAUAACGUAGCGAAAGUUACGCUAAUACCGCAUAUUCUGUGAGCAGGAAAGCAGGGGAUCGCAAGACCUUGCGCUGAUUGAGCGGCCGAUGUCAGAUUAGCUAGUUGGUGAGGUAUAGGCUCACCAAGGCGACGAUCUGUAGCGGGUCUGAGAGGAUGAUCCGCCACACUGGAACUGAGACACGGUCCAGACUCCUACGGGAGGCAGCAGUGGGGAAUUUUGGACAAUGGGGGCAACCCUGAUCCAGCCAUGCCGCGUGAGUGAAGAAGGCCUCGGUUGUAAG